CCUACGGGUGGUAGCAGUGAGGAAUAUUGGUCAAUGGGCUUACGCCUGAACCAGCCAAGUCGCGUGAGGGAAGACUGCCCUAUGGGUUGUAACCCUCUUUUGUCAGGGAGCAACGCCGGCUACGUGUAGCCGGACUGAGAGUACCUGAAGAAAAAGCAUCGGCUAACUCCGUGCCAGCGGCCCCGGUAUUAGGGGGGAUGCGAGCGUUAUCCGGAUUUAUUGGGUUAAAGGGGUGCGUAGGGGGAAUGCCAUGGCAGCGGUAAAAUCACGGGGCUCAACCACGGCCCGCCGUUGAAACUGGCGUUCUUGAGUGCGCGAGAGGUAUGCGGAAUGCGUGGUGUAGCGGUGAAAUGCGUAGAUAUAACGAAGAACUCCGGUGGCGAAGGCAGCAUACCGGCGCCCAACUGACGCUGAAGCACGAAAGCGUGGGUAUCGAACAGGAUUAGAUACCCGAGUAGUC
rnacentral:rRNA from 1 species